rnacentral:lncRNA from 1 species
CUAUAUUUUAUUUAAAGCAGGUACUGUUCUGUUACAAAACAACUAAUAAACAUUUUAUUAUUUUAACAGGUGAACCAUAUUUUACAUGAACUUGGGAAAAAAAACAACUUGGAUUCCAUGGAAAAUUGGAAAUAUAUAUAAUCAUGUCAUCAAUCAGAUAGUAAACAAUCAUUAAGAUGGCCUCAAGAUUAUAUUUCACAGUGACCAACAUGAAAAUUUUUAAAUGGGAAUUAGUUGAUGGCAUUAUAGUUUUCUAAGGGGCGGACCAUUUGAUUUUUGAGGGGGGGGGGUGGAAGAUUCAGUCAGUGCAAGAAUUUUUUUUCCGCCCAGGCGAACGAGACAGAUAUUUUUUUCCUGUAAAAGUGCAGCGCAAGAUAUUUUUUUCCCAAUAUAUUUGGCCGCAGGAUAUUUUUUUUGCCUCUCAUAAUAACGGCUUACAGCAACUUUAGGCUUUCAUAUAGCUAUCAUCGGAGACGUAGCAGGGGUUUUCAGUCAGAGGAGGCCGAGAACUGAAUCCCAAGAGGGGCCAAAGAAUUUUCACUGUGCUUUAUUUUAUAUGGUUAUGUCUUAAUGUUCCCCACACUAAAGCGUGCAAGUUUACUUACAAAGAAUGUAUAACUGCACCAAAACCUAAAACAUGCAGGGAUAGAGUAGAGUACAGUACUCCAAAAUGGGGGAGGUUACAGUAUAUGAAUGACCUGUAACCUUGGGGGGUUCGGGGGCAUGCUCCCCCGAGAAAAUUUUAAAAUUUGAACCUCGGAAAUGCUAUUUCCUGCGUUUUCAGCCAUGGAUAAUUAUCUUAAGCCCAGAUUUUCUCAGGGGGGGGCAACAAUUUUGCCAGGGAACACCACUGGCUAUCGUAUGUCAGAGGCUCCAAAGGCGGUAGAAUCCCUGUGAUGUUAUCCACUGUUCACCCCGUGUUCUUUUAAGCAAAUGUGCCUGCUCAAAAAUGCAAAAUCUUGCAAGCCUGUGGACACAAUACUGAAGUGAAGAGCAUCAGUAGAGUUACAUGUAGAAAAUUUUUUUUUGAGCGCUCUCUUUUGCAUGAUAUUUUUUUUUCUCGAUUGUGUGCUGCAUGAUUUUUUUUUUCUUUCUCCUUGGGUUGCAGGAAAUUUUUUUUCGAAAUCUUCCACCCCCCCCCCUCAAAAGUCAAAUGGUCCGCCCCUAAUGCUAUAUAAUUUUGUUCAUCAAGGUGAAGAAACCUUAACUCACUAUACCUUUUCCUGUUACAGAGCUAUGGUAGUAAUCUUUGAAGAUUUUCAUGAUCCCUCUAUCCAGUAGUUAACCAGUCUAGUAUUAUGACUGUAUUAUGUUAAAUAGCCUUGUUUGACUUUUGUAUUUUGUUUCUUUAAUAAUACAUUUACAAUGGUCAAAAUUACAGUUUAAUAUUUGUAUUUCUAAUGAUAAUUACUUGCAUAUAUCCAUCACACUUCUCCGUUACUAUUAAACUUAUUACUAUCAUGCAAGUAAAAUCUCUUGGGAAAAAUAAAAUGUUGUCCCAGGAUGGUCAUAAAUAUCAGCUAGUAAAACUAAUGAAUAUACCUUUAAUCAUGUACAUAUGACUAUCAUAUAAUAUGUUGUAAUUCCUUUAAGUGUUUCAAAUUAAAUAAAUUUUUAUUUUCAGUUGUUCAUUGUUCAAACUUAUUUGAAACCUACAGUAUAUGUAGUUGCUAUGAUUCAAAUUAAUAUCCAAAAGUGUGCCUUUUACUUCAGUCUUUAUGGACUCCUCCCUAAUACAGACACUUUAUUGUGCCACUCCAAUGUUCAUUCAAAGUGAUCCAACUGGCAUCUGAGCUGGUGAUAAUAUACAGCAAAGUAUUGGAACUAGGAGUAUAUCAGAUAAGUUGUUCAUUCAGUCAAGACCUUCAGGUUGUGCUGAUCAUCAUAUCAAACUCCAUCACAUAUUGUGCCUUAAAAACAUAUAUACAAAUUUUAAAACUUGUUGCAGCACACUGGGCCAUUCCAUCUAAUAUAGCCCCCCACACCUUAAAAAUUUUGGAACCCCAUUGGAUGCAAUUUUGGAACCCCUAUGAAUAUCCUUCUAACCCUUUAGGAUAUAGUUCCUGCUCCUUUGGAUAUCACUAAAACACCUAAUUUUUAGGAAAUCUCUU